UACGUAGGGUGCGAGCGUUGUCCGGAAUUAUUGGGCGUAAAGGGCUCGUAGGCGGUUUGUCGCGUCGGGGAGUGAAAACCAGGUGCUUAACACCUGGCUUGCUUUCGAUACGGGCAGACUAGAGGUAUUCAGGGGAGAACGGAAUUCCUGGUGUAGCGGUGAAAUGCGCAGAGUAUCAGGAGGAACACCGGUGGCGAAGGCGGUUCUCUGGGCCGAUACUGACGCUGAGGCGCGAAAGCUAGGGGAGCAAACGGGG
rnacentral:rRNA from 1 species